GACGAACGCUGGCGGCGUGCUUAACACAUGCAAGUCGAACGGACAGGCCCUGCUCUUGUGGGGUGCUCGAGUGGCGAACGGGUGUGUAAAACGUGAGUAAACUGCACUUGUAUUAGGGAUAACUUCAGGAAACUGGGGCUAAAAUCGGAUAGGAGCUACUGAUGCAUGGUGGGGGUUGGUAAGUUUCGGCCGUUUGGGAUGGACUAGAAGCUUAUCCGCUUGUUGGGGGGGUAGUGGCUUACCAAGGCUUUGAAGGGUAGGCGGCCUGAGAGGGUGACCAGGGACCAUGGGACUGAGGGAGGGCCCAGUCGCCUACGGGACGCAAUAGGGGGGAAUAUUGCGCAGUGGGCGGAAGUCUGAGACAACGGCCCCGCGUGCGUGAAGAUGUCUUUCUAGUUGUGAACCACUGUCUCCUUUAACAUAGCCGGAUUGACGGUAAUUGGUAAGAAAGCACCGGCUAACUACGUG
rnacentral:rRNA from 1 species